rnacentral:rRNA from 1 species
UGGGGAAUAUUGCACAAUGGGGGAAACCCUGAUGCAGCGACGCCGCGUGAACGAAGAAGGUAUUCGUAUCGUAAAGUUCUGUCCUAUGGGAAGAUAAUGACAGUACCAUAGAAGAAAGCUCCGGCUAAAUACGUGCCAGCAGCCGCGGUAAUACGUAUGGAGCGAGCGUUGUCCGGAAUUAUUGGGCGUAAAGGGUACGCAGGCGGUUUAAUAAGUCGAAUGUUAAAGAUUGGGGCUCAACCCCGUAAAGCAUUGGAAACUGAUAAACUUGAGUAGUGGAGAGGAAAGUGGAAUUCCUAGUGUAGUGGUGAAAUACGUAGAUAUUAGGAGGAAUACCAGUAGCGAAGGCGACUUUCUGGACACAAACUGACGCUGAGGUACGAAAGCGUGGGGAGCAAACAGG